GAUAAACGCUGGCGGCGCACAUAAGACAUGCAAGUCGAACGGACUUAACCAUUAGUUUACUAUUGGAGCGGUUAGUGGCGGACUGGUGAGUAACACGUAAGCAAUCUGCCUAUCAGAGGGGAACAACAGUUAGAAAUGACUGCUAAUACCGCAUAUGCCUAAGUACCACACGGUACAAUAGGGAGAGGAGCAAUCCGCUGAUAGAUGAGCUUGCGUCUGAUUAGAUAGCUGGUGGGGUAACGGCCCACCAUGGCGACGAUCAGUAGCCGGUCUGAGAGGAUGAACGGCCACAUUGGGACUGAGAUACGGCCCAG
rnacentral:rRNA from 1 species